GUGGGUAGCGGUGAAAUUCCAAUCGAGCCCGGAGAUAGCUGGUUCUCCCCGAAAUAGCUUUAGGGCUAGCCUCAAGGUGAGAGAUACGGAGGUAGAGCACUGAAUGUCCUAGGGGGUAUUGCACCUACCGAAGACUAUCAAACUCCGAAUGCCGUCAUCUUAUACUUGGGAGUCAGACUGUGGGUGAUAAGAUUCAUAGUCGAAA
rnacentral:rRNA from 1 species